UACGGGGGGGAGCAAGCGUUGUUCGGAUUUACUGGGCGUAAAGGGCGCGUAGGCGGCGUGACAAGUCACUUGUGAAAUCUCCGGGCUUAACUCGGAACGGUCAAGUGAUACUGUCGUGCUAGAGUACAGAAGGGGCAACUGGAAUUCUCGGUGUAGCGGUAGAAAUGCGUAGAUAUCGAGAGGAACACCUGCGGCGAAGGCGGGUUGCUGGGCUGAUACUGACGCUGAGGCGCGAAAGCUAGGGGAGCGAACAGG
rnacentral:rRNA from 1 species